rnacentral:lncRNA from 1 species
GCGGCGCCGCGGGAAACCCAGCCUCCGGCGGCGCUCACGCCGCCCCUCCGCCGGGAACAAACGCCUUCCAAUCGAAAGACCGUCUCCCGGGUACCCCUAAAGUAAUUGCAAUAAAAGCAAGGAGAAAAAGCCAGAUGGAAGAAUUGUUUUAAAACAAGUAACCCACCAGUGGAUGAGAAGACACUACAACUUCAGUUAAUUCUAGCAACCAAAUAUAAGGUAUGGGAUUCAUCUACCAACGUUAUUUUUAUUUCUUAAAAAAAAAAUCCUAAAAUUUCAGUCAGUAAGAGUUAAUUUAAAAUGUUAUUGCUUUUAUUUGAGAAAAACCUAGGCAAAUAUUUCCAAUGACUUUUUUUUCAAGUUUUGGGUGUUUUGGUUUUGUGGCUCUUGUUCCUUUUCCUCAGUAUAAUAAUAUACAUUUGGGGAGUUCCCUUCGUGGCUCAGCGGUUAAUUAACCUGACUAGGAUCCAUAAGGAUGCGAGUUCUGUCCCUGCCCUUGCUCAGUGGGUUAAGGAUCGGGCGUUGCCCUGAGCUGCAGUUUAGGCUGCCCACUUGGCUUGGAUCCUGCGUCACUGCCAGCACCUGUAGCUCCUAUUUGACCCCUAUCCUGGGAGCUACCAUAUGCCACAGGUGCUGCCCUAAAAUAGCAAAUAUAUAUAAAUAUAUAUAUAUUUGAGGGGGAAAAUCCAAUAAAAAUGGAUAUUUUAAUCAGAUCACCAAAAUCCUUGAGCGAGCAUUUUAAUUCUUCUUCACAGAUAAUUUCUAAGAUAGUACUGUUUCUCUUCUAUAUUCCUAAGCCAAAAGUACUGUUGGUUAUUCAACUUUUUCUAAUAAUAGUUUAAAUAUAUAAGAAAUGAUCCCAUCAGGAAAUGAAUAUGAAAAAGAAAAGAAAUAUCCUUUAUCAUUAAAAUUUUCACAAGUGUAGUUUUUAGAGGUAGAUGGAAAAGCAAUAGUGGAGGACCAAAACGUGGAAUGGAAAAACUCUAGAUUUAAGGCAAGAAUAAUCAUUGUAGAAUGCAAAUCAGUUGUACCACUCUCUUGCCUAAAUUCUGUCAAUGGCUUCCCACAAGCUACAGUGAAAAGGCCAAAGCUCUUAGCAUAGUCCUGUCAUUUUCACUGGGGAGCUAUUCUGCUGCCCUAGAAGGCAUUCGGGAAUUAGUAAUGUAUCAGCGUUUACUGCUAUCUAAUACAUUAUUUAUUCCCUAACUCAGCAGCUUAAAACAACAUGUUUAUUACCUCACAAGAGCCUUUGUGGAUCAGGAAUCAGGAUGUUCUGGGUAGUUCUGGCUCUGAGGAAGUGGUCGCCAGUUGGACUCUUGGUCAGAACUCUGAUCAUCUCACUGGCAGGGCAGUCUGGUUCACGUGCAGUCACAGGAGGCUUCAUUUCCUGGGGCUGUUUAGAGGAUAUGGCAGCUGGCUUUUCCCUGAGCAAGAUGAGUGGGUGAGUGACGUGCGUGUGUGUGUGUAUGUGUGUGUGUGUGUGUGUGUGUGAAGCCAAGAUAAUACUCCAUAAUCUUUUAUAACCUAAUCUCCUCUUGCAAGGACAACUUAUCACUUGCACCUCAUGCUCCUGAGCAUAGACAGUGGUGAGCGUAGGAAGAAUUUGGAUGAUUGGAGACCCUCCUGGAGACUGGCUAGCUGCCGAAAGUAAAAACACUUGUGGUUUGUCAUAAUGACUAGAGAUUCCCAUUAACACAGACAAAAACCAAGGGUAUUAAAAUCUUGUUCAAGAAGGAAUCCAUCAGGAAGCUGCCAGCAGUGCUGCCGAAUAGCUCUCCUGCGCUACGGUCUCUGUAGACACACUCCUGGCUCCAUUACACGUGGCUUCUUAAAGUUCCCUGUAAAAUCCUCUGCCUUCGACGUCCACAAAUCUUCCUUCUGACUUCAGUGCCUCUUCACCUUAGCAACCUUUCCAACUCCCUUUUUGGGAGUUAGUACAAAUUCCUUCAUCUGCUGGAUGCGUUCCCUGUUACGUUAAGCCAAUGAGCCCUUGCUUUUCUCAGCCCUAUUUUCAUUCUUGUGAUGGCACACUCAUGACACUGCUGUUAUUACCUCUAACAGCCCUUCUCCCCCAGGAGACUGUGAGCCCCUGCAGGAAUACGUUUUAUAAUCUAAAUCUCAGGGUCCCCAAACCUUACACAGCUCCCGCACAUAGGAAACACUUCUUAAUACAAGUUAGUUGAAUGACUGAGCAAAUGCAUGGUGUGUUGUCUGUGUUUGCGUACAUGUGUGCGCAAGGAUGGUGCCAGUUAAGAGAGAACUGCAGAAUGCAAAAGCUUGAGAACCACUGAUCUGCUCUGUUCCCACCCAGACUCUGUGCCACCUGUUUCCUACUAAAGUGUAAAUUCGCCUUCACAUCGCACAAACUGCUUUUUAAAUUAACAUUUUAUAUCUUCCCCAAAAGGAUAAUUGAAAGUUAUAUUUGUAGAGAGCAUGUCUAUAGGUUGUAGAGGGCACUACCUGAUUAUUACUUGUAUUUUUCAGAAAAUACCCAUGUUAAAGUGUUUUAAGAUCCUAUAUCUAAAUCAAGAAAGAAUAAUCCUGCUUCAGUGCCUUGAAUGAUGUUCAACUGUUGAGCUCAAAGAGUUAACACAAAUUCCAAAAGUGCUGUGUUACAGCCAAUGGCAUUUUGUAAGUUGAAUCUGUAGUAAUAGGAUAAAAAGUUACUAUCUAAAAGAGUUAUUACAGGCACCAAAUGGGCUAAAUUAUGGAGAGGAGUAAUCUGAGCAAUGAAGAUGAAGCUUAAAUCUGUAAGAGCUGAUGCAAUUUCCAAAGGCAUUAACCUAAGGAGCAGUUUAUUAAUUGAGCACCUAGGCUAUUUAGGAAUAAUGUAGUGGCCUCCUAAGGAUUGGAGUUUUGCUGCUGCUGUUAAAUUCCAAAAUUUUCCAUUUUUGUCAGUUUCUAUUUAUGAAAGAUUCAGCCUGCCCGUCAUGACUGUGCCCUGCCUAACUGAAAGCUGAACCUUUCAGUUGUUGAGUGACUUCCUGGAUCUGCACCUGCUCCAGAACUCCUCUGAUACUGCCUAGGGAUAGGAGUAGUUCAAUAUACACUCAUUUAUUCAAGUAGCCUGUUUAGCAAAAAGCUAUUGAGUAUCAACUAUAUGCCAGGCAUAUAUGGAUACGGAGGCCAAGAAGACAGACAUUUUUUGCUAGAUUGUGUGGUGUUUACAUUCUGGUGGGCAGGUGUGAAAAAUAAUAACCAACACACCAUAAUGCAACAAAUAUUAUUUGAGAUAAGGAUGUGGGAUAUGAUAAAAUAUAUAUAUAUACAAAGUAGAGGGCCAGGGAGUGAAUUGCCUUAGGAGUGUUAUUUAAAUGAAGACCUGACCUACAGGAGGGAAUUGCCAGUGUAAAUAUUUAGGGAAGACAACUUUAGAUGGAGGGACAGAAGGAAUGUCCCUGCAAGGUCUCUGUGACUAGAACAAGCUUGGCAUACGUGGGAGUGAGAAAGUUAGCAUAUGAUGUGGGAACCUGUUAAAAGGUUGAGAGAUGCUGUAUAAAAGAUCAAAGGACCUUGUAGGCCAUAGAAAGGAAUUUAGAUGUGGACUCUCAAUGCAGUUGAGAGCUAUUGCAUGGAUUUCAAAAUUCCAAAGUGUCUCUGAUGUUUUGGGGUUUUGAGCCUCCUCUUCUGGUCCUUACCAUAACCAUUAGCCCCUGAAUCUGACAUUGACAAUAAAAGGCCUUCACAGAGGUGGCUUAGAAUUUGCUAAUGGCAGAUGGGCUUUUAUCUAUGAUGUUUGUAUUUUACUGAACUUCAGUAUUGACUCUCACCUUGACUCACGUUCAGGAAGCCCUCUCUCCUAGACUCUAUAUUCCAAUUUUACCUCUUGCAUCAACAGACACUUAAUUCUUCAGUCAUUCCCAUCCUUGGCUAAUUCCCUUGUCAGAUCUAUAUCAGAGAGCUAUGAAGAAAUUUCACCCCUCUCCCCUUCCAAAAAAAAAAAACAACCCAAAUUUCCACAUCUCAAACCCCAUUCCGGACUUCAUAUGACACAAGAAAAGUUGAGUGAAUUAGUAAUUAGUACACCCCCCUAAAAGAAUAUAUAAUUUUAACAUUGCCGAAUAAUCCCAAAUACCUGUAUCAAUUCACUGUCAUAACUGAUAACCAUUUCCCAAACUGCAGUAUGCUCAAUGCCUAUUCUAGACCCAAGAUAUCCAGUCUGUUUAGCAAAAGUCUUAUCCUAUGAACGUUAGAAAAAUGAUCAAUCAUUUUAGAUGCAUCCCUUACUCUUUUCCUCACAAAACAUCCUCCUCACACUAUCAAGACCGUGUUUUUUCCGUGUAAGUUCUCUGUGACGGGAAAACAUUAGAAACAAGUAAGAGUCCCCUUGUACAAACAAGUGCAGAAGAGGCAGAAGCUCAAUUAAGUAGAUGCCUCCUUUAUAAUUUAUCAUUUGUUUUCCUGGGAUCAGAUGCUUUAGGAAGUGAACUAAGUCUUUGCUUUUGUCUUUGAGCAGCCCUGUUUUGACUGACACUUAGACUACAAUCAAUCUUUGAAUUAAAAUUUUAGCUUAAAAAACAUGCAGCCUUAAAUUUACAGAACAUUGCAAAUCAACUAUAAUUUUAAAAAAUUAAAAAUAAAUAAAUAAAAAACACACAGCCUUAGACGUGAGCAUUCAUUUUCAGGGUUAGAUAACCAAUAAUAGGAAAGUGGCAGACCUCUGUCCAGAUACUUCUUUGUUCCUUGCCACCUGUGCAAGGAACACCCAUCGAUUGUGACAAAACCGCAUGUAGGAGUACUUAGGAGACUCUCUACAGAGUUCCCACUGUGGCUCAGUGGGGCAAGGAUGCAAUGUAUUCUCCAUGAGGAUGCGGUUCGAUCCCUAGCCUCCCUCAGUGGGUUAAGAAUCCCACAUUGCAUCAGUCUCAGAUGCAGCUCAGAUCUGGUGUUGCCAUGGCUGUGGCAUAGGCCAGCAGCUGCAGGUCUGAUUCAACCCUUAGCCCAAGAACAUCCAUGUGCCACAGGUGCGGCCG